GCGGGUUUAGCUCAGUUGGGAGAGCGUCAGACUGAAGUCAAACUUCAUCAGUCCAUCUGAAGGUCGUGUGUUCGAUCCACACAAACCGCA
rnacentral:tRNA from 1 species